rnacentral:rRNA from 1 species
CCAAGAAGUCUAGCAUGUACGCGAGUCGUAGGGUCUUACGAAACCUGAAGGCGCAAUGAAAGUGAAGGCUAUCUUUUUCGGUAGCUGAGGUGUGAUCCGGGCUUCAAAAACUCGGCGCAACAUCGGCCCGUCUCAUUCCGCAUUGCCGGAGAGGCGGAGCUUGAGCGUACAUGCUGGGACCCGAAAGAUGGUGACCUAUGCCCGAGCAGGCUGAAGCCAGAGGAAACUCUGGUGGAAGGCCGUAGCGGUUCUGACGUGCAAAUCGAUCGUCGAACUUGGGCAUAGGGGCGAAAGACUAAUCGAACCAUCUAGUAGCUGGUUCCCUCCGAAGUUUCCCUCAGGAUAGCUGGCACUCAUUAAUGCAUUUUUAUCCGGUAAAGCGAAUGAUUAGAGGUAUUGGGGACGAAAUGUCCUCAACCUAUUCUCAAACUUUAAAUGGGUAAGACGCUUGCCUCGCUUCAUUGGAGGUGAGCCGUUCGAAUGCGUUGUGCCAAGUGGGCCACUUUUGGUAAGCAGAACUGGCGCUGUGGGAUGAACCAAACGUGUGGUUAAGGUGCCUCAGCUAACGCUUAUGAGAUACCAUGAAAGGUGUUGGUUGAUAAAGACAGCAGGGCGGUGGCCAUGGAAGUCGGAAUCCGCUAAGGAGUGUGUAACAACUCACCUGCCGAAUCAACUAGCCCUGAAAAUGGAUGGCGCUCCAGCGUCAUACCUAUACCACACCGUCGCGGCAAUAUAUUCACCCAGGAUGUGAAGCUGCGAUGAGUAGGAGGGCCGCUGCGGUAUGCGUGGAAGCCUAAGGCGUGAGCCUGGGUGGAGCUGCCGUGGGUGCAGAUCUUGGUGGUAGUAGCAAGUAUUCAAAUGAAAACUUUGAAGACUGAAGUGGAGAAGGGUUCCACGUGAACAGCACUUGAACGUGGGUGAGUCGGUCCUAAGUGAUAGGAGAACUCCGUUCUGAAAUGAGGCAAUUUGUUUUCUCUUGGUCCUAUUUGGGGAGCUUGCCUAAUCCUAUCGAAAGGGAAUCGCGUUAAUAUUCGCGAACUCGGCUGCGGAGAUUGCUCCUUCGGGAGCACAUGUGGUAACACAACCAAACUUGGAGACGCUAGCGGUGGUCCCGGGAAGAGAUUUCUUUUCUUUGUUAGGAACAGAACCCCUGGAAUCGGCUUGUCCGGAGAUAGGGGCGUUGUUGCCGUAAAGCACCGCGGCUCUUGCGGUGUCCGGAGCAUUAUCGUUGGCCCUUGAAAAUCCAAGAGCGGUAUUAUGAUUUUCGUGUCGAGCCGUACCCAUAUCCGCAUCAGGUCUCCAAGGUGAAAAGCCUCU